AGUGAACGCUGGCGGCGUGCUUAACACAUGCAAGUCGAACGGCAGCACGGAGCUUGCUCUGGUGGCGAGUGGCGAACGGGUGAGUAAUAUAUCGGAACGUACCCAAGAGUGGGGGAUAACGUAGCGAAAGUUACGCUAAUACCGCAUACGAUCUAAGGAUGAAAGCAGGGGAUCGCAAGACCUUGUGCUCCUGGAGCGGCCGAUAUCUGAUUAGCUAGUUGGUGAGGUAAAGGCUCACCAAGGCAUCGAUCAGUAGCUGGUCUGAGAGGACGACCAGCCACACUGGAACUGAGACACGGUCCAGACUCCUACGGGAGGCAGCAGUGGGGAAUUUUGGACAAUGGGGGCAACCCUGAUCCAGCAAUGCCGCGUGAGUGAAGAAGGCCUUCGGGUUGUAAAGCUCUUUUGUCAGGGAAGAAACGGUCGUGGCUAAUAUCCAUGGCUAAUGACGGUACCUGAAGAAUAAGCACCGGCUAACUACGUGCCAGCCGCCGCAGUAA
rnacentral:rRNA from 1 species